rnacentral:rRNA from 1 species
GGUGGGUAACACGUGGAUAACCUACCUAUAAGACUGGGAUAACUUCGGGAAACCGGAGCUAAUACCGGAUAAUAUUUUGAACCGCAUGGUUCAAAAGUGAAAGACGGUCUUGCUGUCACUUAUAGAUGGAUCCGCGCUGCAUUAGCUAGUUGGUAAGGUAACGGCUUACCAAGGCAACGAUGCAUAGCCGACCUGAGAGGGUGAUCGGCCACACUGGAACUGAGACACGGUCCAGACUCCUACGGGAGGCAGCAGUAGGGAAUCUUCCGCAAUGGGCGAAAGCCUGACGGAGCAACGCCGCGUGAGUGAUGAAGGUCUUCGGAUCGUAAAACUCUGUUAUUAGGGAAGAACAUAUGUGUAAGUAACUGUGCACAUCUUGACGGUACCUAAUCAGAAAGCCACGGCUAACUACGUGCCAGCAGCCGCGGUAAUACGUAGGUGGCAAGCGUUAUCCGGAAUUAUUGGGCGUAAAGCGCGCGUAGGCGGUUUUUUGAGUCUGAUGUGAAAGCCCACGGCUCAACCGUGGAGGGUCAUUGGAAACUGGAAAACUUGAGUGCAGAAGAGGAAAGUGGAAUUCCAUGUGUAGCGGUGA